GUAACAACCAUUUGAGUCUGGGAUUUCUGAAUGGGGAAACCCACGUGCAUAAGCACGUAUCGUUAUGUGAAUACAUAGCAUAACGAGGCGAACCGGGGGAACUGAAACAUCUAAGUACCCCGAGGAAAAGAAAUCAACCGAGAUUCCGAAAGUAGCGGCGAGCGAAAUUGGACUAGCCCUUAAGCUUUACACGCGUUAGACGAACGGUCUGGAAAGUCCGACGAUACAGGGUGAUAGUCCCGUAGUUGACGACGUGUGUUCAGUGAAAUCGAGUAGGGCGGGACACGUGAUAUCCUGUCUGAAUAUGGGGGGACCAUCCUCCAAGGCUAAAUACUACUGACUGACCGAUAGUGAACCAGUACCGUGAGGGAAAGGCGAAAAGAACCCCUGUGAGGGGAGUGAAAUAGAACCUGAAACCGUGUACGUACAAGCAGUAGGAGCACCUUCGUGGUGUGACUGCGUACCUUUUGUAUAAUGGGUCAGCGACUUAUAUUCAGUGGCAAGGUUAACCAUCUAGGGGAGCCGUAGGGAAACCGAGUCUUAACUGGGCGUUCAGUCUCUGGAUAUAGACCCGAAACCAGGUGAUCUAGCCAUGGGCAGGUUGAAGGUUGAGUAACAUCAACUGGAGGACCGAACCGACUAAUGUUGAAAAAUUAGCGGAUGACUUGUGGCUAGGGGUGAAAGGCCAAUCAAACCUGGAGAUAGCUGGUUCUCCCCGAAAGCUAUUUAGGUAGCGCCUCGGACGAAUACUACUGGGGGUAGAGCACUGUUAAGGCUAGGGGGUCAUCCCGACUUACCAACCCUUUGCAAACUCCGAAUACCAGUAAGUACUAUCCGGGAGACACACGGCGGGUGCUAACGUCCGUCGUGGAGAGGGAAACAACCCAGACCGCCAGCUAAGGUCCCAAAUUACUACUAAGUGGGAAACGAUGUGGGAAGGCUCAGACAGCCAGGAUGUUGGCUUAGAAGCAGCCAUCAUUUAAAGAAAGCGUAAUAGCUCACUGGUCGAGUCGGCCUGCGCGGAAGAUGUAACGGGGCUAAGUAGUAAACCGAAGCUGCGGCAAUAUACUUUUGUAUAUUGGGUAGGGGAGCGUUCUGUAAGCGGUUGAAGGUGUGUGGUAACGCAUGCUGGACGUAUCAGAAGUGCGAAUGCUGACAUGAGUAACGAUAAAGGGGGUGAAAAACCUCCUCGCCGGAAGACCAAGGGUUCCUGUCCAACGUUAAUCGGGGCAGGGUAAGUCGACCCCUAAGGCGAGGCCGAAAGGCGUAGUCGAUGGGAAACGGGUUAAUAUUCCCGUACUUCUUACAAUUGCGAUGGGGGGACGGAGAAGGCUAGGUGGGCCUGGCGACGGUUGUCCAGGUUCAAGUGCGUAGGCUUAAGAGUUAGGUAAAUCCGGCUCUUUUUAAGGCUGAGACACGACGUCGAGCACCUACGGGUGUGAAGUCAUUGAUGCCAUGCUUCCAGGAAAAGCCUCUAAGCUUCAGAUUGUAAGGAAUCGUACCCCAAACCGACACAGGUGGUCGGGUAGAGAAUACCAAGGCGCUUGAGAGAACUCGGGUGAAGGAACUAGGCAAAAUGGUACCGUAACUUCGGGAGAAGGUACGCUCUCGACGGUGAAGUCCCUCGCGGAUGGAGCUAUUGAGAGUCGCAGAUACCAGGUGGCUGCAACUGUUUAUUAAAAACACAGCACUGUGCAAAAUC
rnacentral:rRNA from 1 species